rnacentral:rRNA from 1 species
CACGCAGGCGGUCUUUUAAGUUUGACGUGAAAGCUCCCGGCUUAACUGGGAGAGGUCGUUGAAGACUGGAAGACUUGAGGCAAUGAGAGGGGUGUAGAAUUCCCGGUGUAGUGGUGGAAUGCGUAGAUAUCGGGGGGAAUACCAGUGGCGAAAGCGGCACCCUAGCGUUAGCCUGACGCUCAUGUGCGAAAGCGUGGGGAGCGAACG